UGGGGAAUAUUGGACAAUGGGCGCAAGCCUGCUCCAGCCAUGCCGCGUGAGUGAUGAAGGCCCUAGGGUUGUAAAGCUCUUUCACCGGUGAAGAUAAUGACGGUAACCGGAGAAGAAGCCCCGGCUAACUUCGUGCCAGCAGCCGCGGUAAUACGAAGGGGGCUAGCGUUGUUCGGAUUUACUGGGCGUAAAGCGCACGUAGGCGGACUUUUAAGUCGGGGGUGAAAUCCCGGGGCUCAACCCCGGAACUGCCUUUGAUACUGGAAGUCUUGAGUAUGGUAGAGGUGGGUGGAAUUCCGAGUGUAGAGGUGAAAUUCGUAGAUAUUCGGAGGAAAACCAGUGGCGAAGGCGGCUCACUGGACCAUUACUGACGCUGAGGUGCGAAAGAGUGGGGAGCAAACAGG
rnacentral:rRNA from 1 species